rnacentral:rRNA from 1 species
GAAUAUUGGACAAUGGGGGCAACCCUGAUCCAGCCAUGCCGCGUGUGUGAAGAAGGCCUUUUGGUUGUUAAGCACUUUAAGCAGUGAAGAAGACUCCAUGGUUAAUACUCAUGGACGAUGCACUUAGCUGCAUAAUAAGCACCGGACAAACCUGUUCCAGCAGCCGGGGUAAUACAGAGGGUGCAAGCGUUGAUCGGCAGUACUGGGCGUAAAGCGCGGGGAGGUGGCUUGAUAAGUCCGAUGUGAAAUCCCCGGGCUUAACCUGGGGACUGCAUCUGAUACUGUUAGGCUAGAAUAGGUGAGAGGAAGGGAGAAGUCCAGGUGUAGCGGUGAAAUGCGUAGAGAUCUGGAGGAAUACCGAUGGCGAAGACAGCCUUCUGGCAUCAUAUUGACACUAAGGUUCGAAAGCGUGGGUAGCAAAC